GCCUGGGUGGCGGAAUUGGUAGACGCAAGGGACUUAAAAUCCCUCGGUCCUCAGUGGCUGUGCGGGUUCGAUUCCCGCCCCAGGCA
rnacentral:tRNA from 1 species